rnacentral:rRNA from 1 species
UUAGUCUUUUAAUAGAAGGCUGGAAUGAAAGGUUUAACGAAAAAUUAGCUGUCUCAAUUAUAAUUUUGAAUUUAGCUUUUAAGUCAAAAGGCUUAAAUUUUAUUGAUGGACGAGAAGACCCUAUAGAGCUUUACAUUUAUAAUUUAAUAAAUUUAUUUAGAUUAAUAAUUUGAAUUUAUUUAUUUGAAUGUUUUGUUGGGGUGACAAGAAAUAUAUAAUUAACUUUUAUUAUUUAAUUAACAUUAAUAUAUGAUUAUUGGAUCCAUUCUUAUUGAUCAGUAGAUUAAGUUACCUUAGGGAU